GGGGGCGUAAAGGUUUCGACGGGGGUGUUUAAGCCUGGUAAGCGAGCCGUAGUUGGUCCAGUCUACGUUAAACAGAACUCGUUAAAAAGAAACGCUAAAACAGAAAACACAUUCGCAUUCGCAGCUUAGUCUGCACUAGCGCCCAAUUUGGCGCACGCGCGUCGGCCUGAAUUAACCCACAGGUUCAGAUCCCGGCGUCGACUAUGUGGGAAAACCGUCUUAAAGUUCUCGGUAUAAGGCGGGACUAACGAGAUAGGUAUUUAAAAGUCGUGCCGGUGGGCCUUUUAAAUACCGAAAUACGAACUGCCGGAUGCGCUCGGAGAAAGCUACGCAGCGAUGCUUUCGGACAAGGGUUCAAUUCCCUUCGCCUUCACCA
rnacentral:tmRNA from 1 species